AGUGAACGCUGGCGGUAGGCCUAACACAUGCAAGUCGAACGGCAGCACAGUAAGAGCUUGCUCUUACGGGUGGCGAGUGGCGGACGGGUGAUGAAUACAUCGGAAUCUACUUUUUCGUGGGGGAUAACGUAGGGAAACUUACGCUAAUACCGCAUACGACCUACGGGUGAAAGCAGGGGAUCAUCGGACCUUGCGCGAUUGAAUGAGCCGAUGUCGGAUUAGCUAGUUGGCGGGGUAAAGGCCCACCAAGGCGACGAUCCGUAGCUGGUCUGAGAGGAUGAUCAGCCACACUGGAACUGAGACACGGUCCAGACUCCUACGGGAGGCAGCAGUGGGGAAUAUUGGACAAUGGGCGCAAGCCUGAUCCAGCCAUACCGCGUGGGUGAAGAAGGCCUUCGGGUUGUAAAGCCCUUUUGUUGGGAAAGAAAAGCAGCAGGUUAAUACCCCGCUGUUCUGACGGUACCCAAAGAAUAAGCACCGGCUAACUUCGUG
rnacentral:rRNA from 1 species